GCUAAUACCGGAUAUGACGUGCCUUCGCAUGGGGGUGCGUGGAAAGCUCCGGCGGUGCAGGAUGAGCCCGCGGCCUAUCAGUUUGUUGGUGGGGUGAUGGCCUACCAAGGCGACGACGGG
rnacentral:rRNA from 1 species